AGCGUACACGGUGGAUGCCUUGGCAGUCAGAGGCGAUGAAAGACGUAGUAACUUGCGAUAAGCCCAGAUUAGGUAGUAACAACCAUUUGAGUCUGGGAUUUCUGAAUGGGGAAACCCACUUACAUAAGUAAGUAUCUUACCUGAAUACAUAGGGUAAGGAGGCGAACCGGGGGAACUGAAACAUCUAAGUACCCCGAGGAAAAGAAAUCAACCGAGAUUCCGAAAGUAGCGGCGAGCGAAAUUGGACUAGCCCUUAAGCUUUACACGCGUUAGACGAACGGUCUGGAAAGUCCGACGAUACAGGGUGAUAGUCCCGUAGUUGACGACGUGUGUUCAGUGAAAUCGAGUAGGGCGGGACACGUGAUAUCCUGUCUGAAUAUGGGGGGACCAUCCUCCAAGGCUAAAUACUACUGACUGACCGAUAGUGAACCAGUACCGUGAGGGAAAGGCGAAAAGAACCCCUGUGAGGGGAGUGAAAUAGAACCUGAAACCGUGUACGUACAAGCAGUAGGAGCAGGCUUUGUCCUGUGACUGCGUACCUUUUGUAUAAUGGGUCAGCGACUUAUAUUCAGUGGCAAGGUUAACCAUCUAGGGGAGCCGUAGGGAAACCGAGUCUUAACUGGGCGUUCAGUCUCUGGAUAUAGACCCGAAACCAGGUGAUCUAGCCAUGGGCAGGUUGAAGGUUGAGUAACAUCAACUGGAGGACCGAACCGACUAAUGUUGAAAAAUUAGCGGAUGACUUGUGGCUAGGGGUGAAAGGCCAAUCAAACCUGGAGAUAGCUGGUUCUCCCCGAAAGCUAUUUAGGUAGCGCCUCGGACGAAUACUACUGGGGGUAGAGCACUGUUAAGGCUAGGGGGUCAUCCCGACUUACCAACCCUUUGCAAACUCCGAAUACCAGUAAGUACUAUCCGGGAGACACACGGCGGGUGCUAACGUCCGUCGUGGAGAGGGAAACAACCCAGACCGCCAGCUAAGGUCCCAAAUUACUACUAAGUGGGAAACGAUGUGGGAAGGCUCAGACAGCCAGGAUGUUGGCUUAGAAGCAGCCAUCAUUUAAAGAAAGCGUAAUAGCUCACUGGUCGAGUCGGCCUGCGCGGAAGAUGUAACGGGGCUAAGUAGUAAACCGAAGCUGCGGCAAUGUGCUUUUGCACAUUGGGUAGGGGAGCGUUCUGUAAGCGGUUGAAGGUGUGUGGUAACGCAUGCUGGACGUAUCAGAAGUGCGAAUGCUGACAUGAGUAACGAUAAAGGGGGUGAAAAACCUCCUCGCCGGAAGACCAAGGGUUCCUGUCCAACGUUAAUCGGGGCAGGGUAAGUCGACCCCUAAGGCGAGGCCGAAAGGCGUAGUCGAUGGGAAACGGGUUAAUAUUCCCGUACUUCUUACAAUUGCGAUGGGGGGACGGAGAAGGCUAGGUGGGCCUGGCGACGGUUGUCCAGGUUCAAGUGCGUAGGCUUAAGAGUUAGGUAAAUCCGGCUCUUUUUAAGGCUGAGACACGACGUCGAGCACCUACGGGUGUGAAGUCAUUGAUGCCAUGCUUCCAGGAAAAGCCUCUAAGCUUCAGAUUGUAAGGAAUCGUACCCCAAACCGACACAGGUGGUCGGGUAGAGAAUACCAAGGCGCUUGAGAGAACUCGGGUGAAGGAACUAGGCAAAAUGGUACCGUAACUUCGGGAGAAGGUACGCUCUUGAUGGUGAAGUCCCUUGCGGAUGGAGCUGACGAGAGUCGCAGAUACCAGGUGGCUGCAACUGUUUAUUAAAAACACAGCACUGUGCAAAAUCGUAAGAUGACGUAUACGGUGUGACGCCUGCCCGGUGCCGGAAGGUUAAUUGAUGGGGUUAGACUUCGGUCGAAGCUCUUGAUCGAAGCCCCGGUAAACGGCGGCCGUAACUAUAACGGUCCUAAGGUAGCGAAAUUCCUUGUCGGGUAAGUUCCGACCUGCACGAAUGGCGUAAUGAUGGCCACGCUGUCUCCACCCGAGACUCAGUGAAAUUGAAAUCGCUGUGAAGAUGCAGUGUACCCGCGGCUAGACGGAAAGACCCCGUGAACCUUUACUACAGCUUGGCACUGAACAUUGACCCUACAUGUGUAGGAUAGGUGGGAGGCUUUGAAGCACGUACGCCAGUAUGUGUGGAGCCGUCCUUGAAAUACCACCCUUGUAGUGUUGAUGUUCUAACGUCGACCCCUAAUCGGGGUUGCGGACAGUGCCUGGUGGGUAGUUUGACUGGGGCGGUCUCCUCCCAAAGAGUAACGGAGGAGCACGAAGGUGGGCUAAUCACGGUUGGACAUCGUGAGGUUAGUGCAAUGGCAUAAGCCCGCUUGACUGCGAGAAUGACAAUUCGAGCAGGUGCGAAAGCAGGUCAUAGUGAUCCGGUGGUUCUGAAUGGAAGGGCCAUCGCUCAACGGAUAAAAGGUACUCCGGGGAUAACAGGCUGAUACCGCCCAAGAGUUCAUAUCGACGGCGGUGUUUGGCACCUCGAUGUCGGCUCAUCACAUCCUGGGGCUGAAGUCGGUCCCAAGGGUAUGGCUGUUCGCCAUUUAAAGUGGUACGCGAGCUGGGUUUAGAACGUCGUGAGACAGUUCGGUCCCUAUCUGCCGUGGGCGUUGGAAGAUUGAAGGGGGCUGCUCCUAGUACGAGAGGACCGGAGUGGACGAACCUCUGGUGUUCGGGUUGUGUCGCCAGACGCAUUGCCCGGUAGCUAAGUUCGGAAUCGAUAACCGCUGAAAGCAUCUAAGCGGGAAGCGAGCCCUGAGAUGAGUCUUCCCUGAUACUUUAAGUAUCCUAAAGGGUUGU
rnacentral:rRNA from 1 species